rnacentral:misc_RNA from 1 species
AUUAGUCUUUGCACGGAUUGCUUAUCAUAUGCCUAACUUUUAUUUUGGAUGUAGAAUUAGAGGAAGCAUCUUAGCCUAAGGCAUCUCCAGAGGCUUGGCAAAAGGGUUAGCUCCGCAUUCUUCAAAAGAGUCUGCUUUAAUUGCCUAAGGUGUGUAGGAAGAGGGGCAGGUUUAGAAUCUAACAACAAUAGCAAUCAAGGAAGCAAAUUCUUCUCGUAAACGAAACAAAUGAUGCUGCAAACCUAAUCUACUUGGUUAUCUUUCAAAUGAGAACCAUCCUCACUUACUCCAAUCUUAGCCAAGGGAGGAUUUACUUUGUAAUGUAGGAAAAUGGGUAUAGUAACUUAAAUUAGCACAUGAAGGCUGACUUAGAGGAGAGAUCUUUAAACGCAUUUGAGAUAGCUAUAUCAGAUUGGUAAUGUAAAGAAAGUUUAUAGCAUGCUAAGAAGAGUUAUGCUCGAUCAUAACAGUAUAACAAACCAACCUACCUACCAGAGAAAGAAUCAGAUAGA